rnacentral:lncRNA from 1 species
AAUGCUACAAGAUGCCCUCACCAGACACUGAAUCUGCUGGCACUGUGGUCUUGGAAUUCGCAGCUUCCAAAACUGUGAAAAAUAAAUUUCUAUUGUUUAUAAAUUACCUAGUCUCAGGUAUUUUGUUACAGCAGUAUCAACAGACUAGGAGAGUUGUGUUUAAAAAAAAAAAAAAAAAAGCAUGAAAAGAGAAAAAAGUAAUAUUAAGCAUAUAUUAUUUGCCAUGUAUUUUGUAUACAUUCUUUUAUUAAGCCUAUACAGCAAGUCUUAGAUAUAAAUUGGAUUAUUCCCAUUAUAUAGACUGGGAAAGUUGAGGCUUAUGGAGGUUAAGCAAUUAAAGUAACAAAAUCAGUAAGUGGUAGGGUCAGAAUGCAAAGCCACACCUAUCACCCUCAAAUACCCAUAUUCUUUCUCCUCCACCUACCUGCCAAUUGAUUAUAAUUAAGAUGAUAAUGAAGAAUGUGAUAUAAAAAUCAUCACCAUUUAACCCCCAUAUAAUCUGACAUACCAUUCCAAUUAUAUAGUUAUGUCUAAUAAAUUUAAUCAAAGCAGGACCAAAUAAAUGUCUCAGAGAAACAACUGGGGAAUAUGCAUACUCCAUUUAUCAGCUGUGCAACCAUAAGGAACUUCCUAAUUCAAGGCAAAUUUCUCAGUGUCCCCAAGUUCCACUUCAGAGACAAAAGUGUGUGCAACAGAAUUGGGGAGGAGACCCUCUACUUCAAUAAAGUCAACAAAAGCAUUACAUAGAGAUAAAAACUCUGUCUUCAAACCAGUUCAUUCACUGGGACUGGCCAAUUCCCUCUAAGGAUUUAAUUUCACUUUCUUUUGUUUUUUCCAACUCUAUGGAUCUACGUUAGAAAAAAUAUUACAUGCUUAUCCCUUAACACAUGGAUGAAGAUUCACAUUGAUUAGUAUAUGGAGUUGGUCAUGCCCAUCCCACUAGAGGUGCCAGCAUCAGCAGCUCUGAUCCAUGUUAGCCAGGUGGCUCAGCUCUCUCUCAUUCCAUGAACAGUGCUCUUAUCUGCAACUGUCUGGCAAGCUCAUGCCCUUAUGCCAGGGAGUAGAUGGUUAGCCCAAACCUGCCAUCAGCUGAAAUGCAAAUGAAGGCCAGUUAAUCGUACUGUCUUUCUAAACAAAGAGGAUGUCAAUUUUCAUAAUAUCAUUUUCUAUUUCCAAUAUGAACAUCUCAGUAAUCUUUAAUCAAGUCAUAAUUUCUGAGUUCAUUCCAGUCUCAUGGGCCUCAGAACUGUGCUUCAGGGCAAGAGAGAAUGACUGGAAUAAUGUGCUAGAGGACACGGGCAGCUACGCAGCAGAUACUGCUAUGGGCACCCCUGGCUCCUCCAUUCCCAUCCUUUCUACCUCCUCCUCUUCCCCAAAGAUUGGGUUAGUGGCUUGGGUAACCUUCUGUUUCCCAAUUUUCCGAGCAAUAUUUUAUCAGGAGCUUGAUACUCAUUUUACUAAUUGCUAAUUAACCAAGACCAAUCCCUUAAGAAUCCUCGACAAUGUAAGUAAAAAAAAAAAGUAAAAAAAAAAAAA